AAAUCAAGCGGCUAGCUAACACCCAAGGCUAGCCACAGAAAAACAGUCCUCCAGCAGCUGUGAAUCGACAAGACUCUACUAACAGAUAACAACAUCAUCGCUCCAGCAAGACCAAAUAAAUCGAUUUUGUAUUUACAGUAUUUUCAGAAGUGAACCUACAAUGGGAAAAUUAAGGAAAAACACACAUAGCAGUGAUACUUCCAGUAUCUGUGUGGUGGCUCUCAGUCCACUGACAUCAGAGUGAGCUGUGACACCAGUCAGCGGAGUACUAGAGUCUCUGUGAGACUGAGAAACGCUGUGUCAUUGUCUUGUAGUGUCACUGUGCACACACACAUCUUUACACUGAGCUCAUGGGAACAGAUGAGCUGGACUUCAAGACUAACUCCUAAAGAAAACAUUAAAGUGGAACUAUGCUGUGACUACUAUUCUCUGCACUGCGCAAUGCCGCUGAGUGGAUAGUUUCCUGCUGUGGCUCCCGCUCCUCAAAGAAGGACAGGACAGCAGCAGGAUGCCUAUACCAGUACAAAGGGCAGAACGUGUGGACAGUCUCUAGUGAUGAAAAAACAUCCAGUCAAAAUCCUCCCUAAUUCCUCCCAGCAGAGUGGAAAGAAGAGAUGCCCAUAUUUCCCCACCACCUGAUUUACCUCUCAGGUGUAUUUACCUGAUCUGUGUUGCUCUGUGCUUGUUAUAAUGACGACUUGUCCCAAAACUCCUGGUUGGGAAGUUGGAUGAUGUCUGACAGCUGUCAAGUGCAGCAGUGGCUCAGAAGUGGCUUACAAUCUACUGUAUGUACCGAUCAUUUAUGUGGUAGAAAUGCAAUGUGGUCAGCACAUCAAAUUAAUCCAAUUAAUAAAAUAAAUGGUCAAGAUUA